AAGACCAUUCAUUCCAUGUACGGGAAGGCAAACAGCAAUGGUACCGAUACAUCAAUAACGACACGAGAAACUAAUCCACCCACGUCAUGUGAGAUCGGCUCUUCAAAACUAAUCCAUGUAAAGUAACGAUAGAUCACUCUAGUACCAUCUUUAUUGGAGAGUACUCUUAGGGGUACUCUCAGUAUUGGGCCCCAAAAUUCCAUUUAAAAACUCAUUUCUGAGUCUAAAAAUGAGAGUAUCGUUAUUUGGGAAGAAAUUGAGCAAAUUCCACCCACUCUCUCUCUCUCUUCUCUCUCGUUCAGAAAGGCGAUGGAAGAGACGAUUCGUCCGAAAAUCUGGAAAUUCAACCGAUUCACAUCGAAUCCGUUGAAUUUUCAGGCUAAAUCUGGAGGGUUGAUGGUCACCGGAGGCGAUGGCAUUAUAAAUCGACGAAGACGGGUCUUUGUGGGGACUGUGAGUGCGUUCUGUGUGAAACAUGCUCAGUGUCCAGUUUUGACGAUCAAACGCAUGCCGAUGUUUCUGUUUCUGUUUUGUUCUUACCCUCUGUGGAUUAUUCAAGGGUUUAUUAUUUUCCAGCAUCUUGAGUGCUCUGACAAAAUUUGUAAACUUAGAGUCUUUUGUCCCUUUCCUGAUGUGACGAUAAGGAGAACAUGCUAAAACUCAACUUUUCAUUUUUGUGAUCUUAAAGAUCUUGGAUCAUGAUCGUCUUUUACUAAAGCACCGGAGUUAAGUAUUCUAAUUCAUUGACUUGUUUCAGAUUUGUGCAGGUAUGGAAUCGAAGGCCCUGUUUAUUUAACAGCAAAGGGUGAGAAAGGAGCUGGUGUAUGGUACGUAGAUGAGGAGAAGCAGCAGAUUGUUAAGAUGGAUGGAAGCUUAUCUUACAGUGUCUUGCAGACAGUGAGUAUUCACAUGGAGGUAGUAGAGCCUCAGCCUAAUCGACCAAAACUCCAACUCACUCUCUUGUAAAACUCUCCAACCUUCGUAGUUUUACUUUCACUUGUGUACCAAUGUCAAGAGUUUAGGUGGUUUUACGUUUGUUACCUCUUUGUGUUCAUUAUCGAAGUCAAAGACAUUGUAUCAUCAUUUAUGGUAUCUAUUGAUGGAUGUGAGUGGCUGUGCAUCAAUUUUGGUCAUCUGAUUUCUUGACCAUAUGCUUUUACAUUAUAUGGAUGUAAUACUUGGUACAAUAUUUGCCUUACAAAUGGGGAGAUGGGGAAAAAUGUAGACUUGCAUAUUGGUACAAAUGCAACCAGAA